CACCAUUGCCCUAGUGUCCUUCUAGGUAAGGUGGAAACCAAUGCAUCACUGCCCUUGAUGGAUUUGUCAAUAAUACUUAGCAGGGGAGGGGAACUGCUCACAUAACACUCGCAGGUCUCCAGUCCCCGAGCAGUUUGGUGUGAUUUAAUUGUCUGAAGAGGUGUGUGCUUCUGCAUAUAUGCAGGAACUAAGCAGUGGUCACAGGCAGAGGGAGUUAGCAGUGGAGCUGACUGCAUUGGAAAGCCUUGGGAAAACAGCACGGAAAAUAACAGGCGGCCGGAGCCACGGCCAGGGUGCUCCAAGCCUGAACAUUGAGCACGACCCAGGUCAUAUGCACAACACGACAGGUUGAGCGUCCAUGUGUGGCUACUGGGUUUGCUGGGGACACCUCUUGCCUGCCAGGGUGAGCACACGCAGCAGUGAGCAGCCCCGUGUGACCCCACGGGAUGAGGAUGCCAUGAUGUCAGCAUCCCUUCUGACUUGGAGGUAUGUGACAUUCAUGGUGCCAAUGCCACUGUCACCUUGCAGAUCAGUCUGGGUUUGCUUCAGACAGAAGAUCCUGGAAUAUGUUCAAGCAUUACUCAUCUCCAGACUUUUUCAACCCAAUAAAUUUUCAUACUACUUGA
rnacentral:lncRNA from 1 species